rnacentral:rRNA from 2 species
UGAGCCAAGUUUAGGGUUUCUUAAAAACCCAAGCAGUAUUGAACUGAAGAGUUUGAUCAUGGCUCAGAUUGAACGCUGGCGGCAGGCCUAACACAUGCAAGUCGAGCGGAUGACGGGAGC